rnacentral:lncRNA from 1 species
AAUAUAUCCGGAAGCAACUGUCAUGGCUGCUGUCAGUGAGGGCCCGUAAUGGAGAUCGAGUCAAGGGUUGCCCAGGGACACUUAAGAGCCUUCGGCUUCAAGGAGGCCUCUCAAAGGACAAAGGAUGAGACUGCCUGGCGGCAGAGUGCCCCCCACAAUCGUAGGAACUGUGUCGCCGCGCUUCCCGUUAACUUGCCGCUAAGUUUUUCUAGAAAAGUCGCCCUUCUUGCCAGGGUGGGACCUCACUUCUGACCUAGCCCUUCUUUGUGUACCAAGUUUUUGUUUCCGUCAUUUCCCGCAGCCCGGGAGCUCGGCGGGCGAUACUGUGGUAGCCUGGGAGGAAGGGGCGGGCCGGAUGCUGGAACCGAGAGAGGGUGUCCUAUAGACUUUGUCAUGGAGUGAAACAGAAACAAAUGUGAGUUAAUCAUUAACAUUUCCUAGUGGUUAAAAUUACUUUUUAAGCGCUUAACUGUGUAUUUUUUAGAUUGAAGAUUUCAAAUGAAAUUUUGAUUUGACUGAAAUAUUUAAUAUGUGAUGAGUUGAUAUUAAAAUACAGAAGAUUACUAUUUUUAUAGAAACAAUAAUGUAGAAACUAAUAUUUGAAGCAGGUUUACUCCACAUACUGUGUUAUAAUUUAAAUUUUCACUUAAACUCUCAAAAUCAGAAGAGCUGACCUAGUAAGGCUUAAACCUCUAAAACUUGUGGUUUUAACAAGGCUUAAUAUACGUAGUUAUAAUAGUUUUUAAAAAAAUUGUUAUCAAGUUCCUCAGGUGAUUCUGAUAUAGUAUUUUAAAGAAAGCAAAGAGAAAUGAUCUGUUUAUACAUUUUAAAUAUUUUGUUCCUUAUUUAUGUAUUGAGACUGUGCUUAUAAAUGCAUUCACACGCAUUGAAGUACAUAAUUUGAUCGUCAUGCCAGCCUGGAAUCUUGCUUUUUGUAUGGUUUCUUGCAGGUAGGUCUAUUGGGUUCUUGGCAUAGUACCUGGACAAAACAUUGUUAAGGUGGAAAUUUUCAUUGUAUUUAUCACUUCAAACACUUGACCAGUUUAUUUAGUUUUCAAGCGCUUUAGACAACUAUAUGUGGGCUUGACUUAGUGUAUAAUAAAUGUAAAGUUUGAUCUCAAGUAGUUGACAUUUAUGGAGUAUUUACCAUAUGCCAAUCUUUGUGAUAAUUGCUAGACAUAUUUUAUUUAAUGCUUACAGCAGUACUGUGAGUUAGGUUUGUUAAAUCCCUGUUUUAAUAGAUGGAGAAACUGAGGCAAGGACGGAUUAAGUUACAAAUCCGUCUUUGUAACUUAGAGCCAUCUUCUUACCUACUUGUUUUGUAUGACACCCUUUUCCUCCAUAUAACUGAACACUGGUAGAAGAGUGAAUGACUGUAGAAAACAGACCUGGACUCUAUUCUACCUGUCCAGCUUUGUAAACUAGGGCAAGUUGUGUGACCACUCUGAAUUUCAUUUUCCUCACCUAUAAUAAAUGAAAACUUUGAACUAUUAUGUUUUAUUGAAUCUUGAAUCAUCAGAAAUCCUUAAGGCUGGGUGUGGUGCUUCACGCCUGUAAUCCCACCACUUUGGGAGGCCCAGAUGGGAGGAUUGCUUGAGGCCAGGAGUU